AUAGCAUGACCCCCGUCAUGAUAGUAUAUCUAUGCAAAGAGCAGAGGCUGACAGAAUACAGACCAGAAUGUUAACAGUGGGUAUCACUGGGUUGUAAGAUAACAGUGAUUUUUAAAUGUUCUGUUCUUAUAUUAUUUUCUGAAAUUUCUACUUGUGUCCUAACAGGGUUUUUAAAAUAUUUCUUGGGUAAGGCAAAUCAGAGUUUCUAAACCUGGUCAUCAGU
rnacentral:lncRNA from 1 species